rnacentral:rRNA from 1 species
AGUCGAGCGGUAAUACUUCGGGUGACGAGCGGCGAACGGCUGAGGAACACGUUGGUACCUGCCCCGAACUCAGGGAUAAGCGCGAGAAAUCGCGUCUAAUACCGGAUACCCCAGAAAUGGGAAAGAUUUAUCGGUUCGGGAGGGGCCUGCGUCGUAUCAUGCUUGUUGGUGAGGUAAUAGCUCACCAAGGCUUUGACGCGUAUCUGGUGUGAGAGCACGACCAGACAGAGUGGGACUGAGACACGGCCCACACUCCUACGGGAGGCAGCAGUGAGGAAUUUUCCACAAUGGGCGAAAGCCUGAUGGAGCAAUCCCGCGUGCAGGAUGACACCUUUCGGGGCGUAAACUGCUUUUCUGAGGGAAGAAAAUCUGACGGUACCUCAGGAAUAAAGGGCGGCUAAUUACGUGCCAGCAGCCGCGGUAAUACGUAAGCCCUAAGCGUUAUCCGGAAUUAUUGGGCGUAAAGCGUUCGAAGGCGGAUCAGUCAGUCCGACGUUAAAUACCUACGGCUCAACCGAGGUUUCGUGUCGGAAACUGCUGGACUAGAGUAGUGCAGAGGCAGGUAGAAUUUCCAUUGUAGGGGUAAAAUCCGUAGAUAAUGGGAGGAAUACCAAAAGCGAAGGCAGCCUGCUGGGCACUUACUGACGCUGUGCGAACGAAAGCGUGGGUAGCGAAAGGGAUUAGAUACCCCUGUAGUCCACGCCGUAAACGAUGGAUACUCGAUGUACGCCGGUUCAAUCCCGGUGUGUGUCCAAGCUAACGCGUUAAGUAUCCCGCCUGGGGAGUACGGUCGCAAGAUUAAAACUCAAAGGAAUAGACGGGAUCCACACAAGCGGUGGAGCAUCUGGUUUAAUUCGAUAAUGCGCGAGGAACCUUACCAGGGCUUGACAUCCUCCAAAUCUUUCAGAGACGAAAGAGUGCCUUCGGGAUGGAGUGACAGUGCUGCAU